AAAUUUUACAAAAUUAAAGAUAAAAAAUAAAUGAAUAUAUAUAGAUAAAUACUAAGAUAAAUAAAUUAUUUAUCUUAGAUAAAAAUAGGAGGACUUAUCUCCCAUUAGAAAUAAUCACAAUAAUCUAUAUUAUUUAUAACAAAUAUCUCAUUAAUAAUUUAAAAUUUUAAAUAAUUAAUAUUUGAUGUAUUAAUGGCUGUGAAUAAUUAUCAAG
rnacentral:lncRNA from 1 species